CAGCCCAAUCGCCUUCUAAAUCCGGCCCGCGGACAGUCCGGGAAUCAGCGUGUUCUUACAUGAGUAGAAUGUGUGCUUUUAUUUAAAAUGCAUCUCUGGGUUAUUUGUUGGGCAUAGGAAUUAGUUCAUUUUUUUUCUCUUCAAAAUAUAGUCCGGCCCCCCACAAGGUCUGAAGUACGGUGGACCAGCCCCCUGCUGAAAAGGUUUGCUGACCCUUGGCUUAGUGUGUCAUCCGUAUGUAGGGUCAGGGUUUAAAUUUCUUCUCAACAACCAACUUCAUUUAUUUGUGCGCGGUUUUGUAUCUGUUUUGUCCUGAAAUACAUUUUACUGCAUUUUUGAGCAGAUGACAAUAUUGAAAAAUUCAGAAAACUGUGUAAACUGCAUUUAUCCCAGAAGCAUGAAUCAAGGUGGGUUGCCUAAAAAUGUGAACUAAGCAAAAUCCUCAAGCAUCCCUAUCGGGGGAGGUUGCACCUACAAUUAUUUUUACAAUGGAUUGUCCCCCUUGUGUAUUAGAAAAUGGUGCUGUUAAAAGUCACACCCUUUU